rnacentral:tRNA from 1 species
AUUUAUAUAGUUUAAAGUAAAACAUUACACUUUCACUGUAAAGAUAAAGAAAACUUUUAUAAAUA